rnacentral:rRNA from 1 species
AAUCAACGCUGGCGGCGUGCCUAACACAUGCAAGUCGAGCGCGAAAGGGGAGCAAUCCCCUAGUAGAGCGGCGAACGGGUGAGUAACGCGUGGGUGAUCUACCUCCGAGUGGGGAAUAACCCCGGGAAACUGGGGCUAAUACCGCAUGACAUCCCUGAGUCACAUCGGGGAUCAGAGCCGGGGACCGCAAGGCCUGGCGUUUGGAGAUGAGCCCGCGUCCGAUUAGCUAGUGGCGGGGUAAUGGCCCACCAAGGCUUCGAUCGGUAGCCGGCCUGAGAGGGCGGACGGCCACACUGGGACUGAGACACGGCCCAGACUCCUACGGGAGGCAGCAGUGGGGAAUUUUUCGCAAUGGGGGGAAACCCUGACGAAGCAACGCCGCGUGGAGGAUGAAGGCCUU